AACGAACGCUGGCGGCAUGCCUAACACAUGCAAGUCGAACGAGACCUUCGGGUCUAGUGGCGCACGGGUGCGUAACGCGUGGGAACCUGCCCUUAGGUUCGGAAUAACUCCCCGAAAGGGGUGCUAAUACCGGAUAAUGUCUUCGGACCAAAGAUUUAUCGCCUUUGGAUGGGCCCGCGUUGGAUUAGCUAGUUGGUAGGGUAAAAGCCUACCAAGGCGACGAUCCAUAGCUGGUCUGAGAGGAUGAUCAGCCACACUGGGACUGAGACACGGCCCAGACUCCUAGGGGAGGAAGGGGGGGGAAAUAGUGAACAGGGGGAGAGGGCGUAAACAAGAAGGGCGGGGGGAGAGAGGAGGACGUGAGGUUUGAAAAGUUUUUUCCCCCGGGAAGAAAAGGAAAGUACGGGGAAAAUAAGCCCCGGCAAACUCCGUG
rnacentral:rRNA from 1 species